rnacentral:rRNA from 1 species
GACGAACGCUGGCGUCGUGCCUAAUACAUGCAAGUCGAACGAGUGGCGGAAGGGUGAGUAAUGUCUGGGAAACUGCCUGGUGGAGGGGGAUAACUACUGGGAACGGUAGCUAAUACCGCAUACCAUCGGAUGAGCCCAUAUGGGAUUAGCUAGUAGGUGGGGUAAAGGCUCACAUAGGCGACGAUCCCUCGCUGGUCUGAGAGGAUGACCAGACACACUGGGACUGAGACCCGGUCCAGACUCCUACGGGAGGCAGCAGUGGGGAAUAUUGCACAAUGGGCGCAAGCCUGAUGCAGCCAUGCCGCGUGUAUGAAGAAGGCCUUCGGGUUGUAAAGUACUUUCAGCGGGGAGGCGUUACCCGCAGAAGAAGCACCGGCUAACUCCGUGCCAGCAGCCGCGGUAAUUC